rnacentral:rRNA from 1 species
AGUGAACGCUGACGGUAGGCCUAACACAUGCAAGUCGAACGGCAGCACAGUAAGAGCUUGCUCUUACGGGUGGCGAGUGGCGGACGGGUGAGGAAUACAUCGGAAUCUACUUUUUCGUAGGGGAUAACGUAGGGAAACUUACGCUAAUACCGCAUACGACCUACGGGUGAAAGCAGGGGAUCUUCGGACCUUGCGCGAUUGAAUGAGCCGAUGUCGGAUUAGCUAGUUGGCGGGGUAAAGGCCCACCAAGGCGACGAUCCGUAGCUGGUCUGAGAGGAUGAUCAGCCACACUGGAACUGAGACACGGUCCAGACUCCUACGGGAGGCAGCAGUGGGGAAUAUUGGACAAUGGGCGCAAGCCUGAUCCAGCCAUACCGCGUGGGUGAAGAAGGCCUUCGGGUUGUAAAGCCCUUUUGUUGGGAAAGAAAAGCAGCAGGUUAAUACCCCGCUGUUCUGACGGUACCCAAAGAAUAAGCACCGGCUAACUUCGUG